rnacentral:rRNA from 1 species
AUUGAACGCUGGCGGCAGGCCUAACACAUGCAAGUCGAGCGAGAGGCGGGCGGGGGAGUAAUGUAUGGGGGCUGUCCGAGAGAGGGGGAUAACAACUGGAAACGGUAGCUAAUACCGCAUACUACAGGAUUGACCAUAUGGGAUUAGCUGGUAGGUGGGGUAAUGGCUCACCUAGGCGACGAUCCCUAGCUGGUCUGAGAGGAUGAUCAGCCACACUGGGACGGAGACACGGCCCAGACUCCUACGGAGGCAGCAGUGGGGAAUAUUGCACAAUGGGCGCAAGCCUGAUGCAGCCAUGCCGCGUGUAUGAAGAAGGCCCUCGGGUUGUAAAGUACUUUCAGUCGGGAGGCGUUACCGGCAGAAGAAGCACCGGCUAACUCCGUGCCAGCAGCCGCGGUAAUUC